rnacentral:rRNA from 1 species
CCUACGGGAGGCAGCAGUGAGGAAUAUUGGACAAUGGGCGCAAGCCUGAUCCAGCCAUGCCGCGUGCAGGAUGACGGUCCUAUGGAUUGUAAACUGCUUUUGUACAGGAAGAAACAGUUCUACGUGUAGAACCUUGACGGUACUGUAAGAAUAAGGAUCGGCUAACUCCGUGCCAGCAGCCGCGGUAAUACGGAGGAUCCAAGCGUUAUCCGGAAUCAUUGGGUUUAAAGGGUCCGUAGGCGGUUUAGUAAGUCAGUGGUGAAAGCCCAUCGCUCAACGGUGGAACGGCCAUUGAUACUGCUAAACUUGAAUUAUUAGGAAGUAACUAGAAUAUGUAGUGUAGCGGUGAAAUGCUUAGAGAUUACAUGGAAUACCAAUUGCGAAGGCAGGUUACUACUAAUAUAUUGACGCUGAUGGACGAAAGCGUGGGUAGCGAACAGGAUUAGAUACCCUGGUAGUCCACGCCGUAAACGAUGGAUACUAGCUGUUGGGAGCAAUCUCAGUGGCUAAGCGAAAGUGAUAAGUAUCCCACCUGGGGAGUACGUUCGCAAGAAUGAAACUCAAAUGAAUUGACGG